rnacentral:rRNA from 1 species
AUACGGAGGAUGCAAGCGUUAUCCGGAUUUAUUGGGUUUAAAGGGUGCGUAGGCGGUUUGCUAAGCGGGAGGUGAAAUGCCGGCGCUCAACGUCGGAAGUGCCUCCCGAACUGGGGGACUGGAAUGACUCUGCCGUGGGAGGAAUGUGUAGGGUAGCGGUGGAAUGCUUAGAGAUUACACAGAACACCGAUUGCGAAGGCAUCUCACGAAGGGUUGAUUGACGCUGAGGCACGAAAGCGUGGGGAUCAAACAGGAUUAGAUACCCUGGUAGUCCACGCAGUAAACGAUGAUGGCUAACCGCUGGUUUAUUCGGAUCAGUGGCCAAGCGAAAGCGAUAAGCCAUCCACCUGGGGAGUACGACCGCAAGGUUGAAACUCAAAGGAAUUGACGGGG